GAUGAACGCUGGCGGCGUGCUUAACACAUGCAAGUCGAACGAUGAAGCCCAGCUUGCUGGGUGGAUUAGUGGCGAACGGGUGAGUAACACGUGAGUAACCUGCCCUUAACUCUGGGAUAAGCCUGGGAAACUGGGUCUAAUACCGGAUAGGAGCGUCCACCGCAUGGUGGGUGUUGGAAAGAUUUAUCGGUUUUGGAUGGACUCGCGGCCUAUCAGCUUGUUGGUGAGGUAAUGGCUCACCAAGGCGACGACGGGUAGCCGGCCUGAGAGGGUGACCGGCCACACUGGGACUGAGACACGGCCCAGACUCCUACGGGAGGCAGCAGUGGGGAAUAUUGCACAAUGGGCGCAAGCCUGAUGCAGCGACGCCGCGUGAGGGAUGACGACCUUCGGGUUGUAAACCUCUUUCAGUAGGGAAGAAGCGAAAGUGACGGUACCUGCAGAAGAAGCACCGGCUAACUACGUG
rnacentral:rRNA from 1 species